GACGAACGCUGGCGGCGUGCUUAACACAUGCAAGUCGAACGGAAAGGCCCAGCUUGCUGGGUGCUCGAGUGGCGAACGGGUGAGUAACACGUGGGUGAUCUGCCCCUAACUUCGGGAUAAGCUUGGGAAACUGGGUCUAAUACCGGAUAGGACAAUCGUUUAGUGUCGGUUGUGGAAAGUUUUUUCGGUUAGGGAUGAGCCCGCGGCCUAUCAGCUUGUUGGUGGGGUAAUGGCCUACCAAGGCGUCGACGGGUAGCCGGCCUGAGAGGGUGGACGGCCACAUUGGGACUGAGAUACAGCCCAGACUCCUACGGGAGGCAGCAGUGGGGAAUAUUGCACAAUGGGCGCAAGCCUGAUGCAGCGACGCCGCGUGGGGGAUGACGGCCUUCGGGUUGUAAACCUCUUUCGACAGGGACGAAGCUUUGGUGACGGUACCUGUAUAAGAAGCACCGGCUAACUACGUGCCAGCAGCCGCGGUAAAAC
rnacentral:rRNA from 1 species